UCCUCCCAGGGUCCUGGCAGAGGAGGAUGCUCCCAGUGCCAGAGGGUGCUGAGCAGCGGGGCUGGGAGCUACAAAAUGAACUUUGUGAGGCUGCAUGCAACAACUUCUGAGCUCAGGGGUGGAGAUCCUCCUGCUGCAUUAACAAAAGCCGAGAUUCCCAGAGAUGGAGGAGGAUUCUGGAAUACAAGAAAGGGGUUUUCACAACACACAUGAGAUUUCCUCUGGCCUGGAAGAAUAAUGUCGAGAGCCAACUGAAUUUCAAGGAGCCCUGACCCUUCAUCCCCCGUCAUCCCUAGCCGUUUUGUGGAGUUCACACAGAACAUCCUUUUUGUUCGCUUUGGUUUGCCAACAACAUAAAGUUUCGAGAUGUAUAGUCAGAACUAACACCUCAUCUCGCUGACUGAAUGUCUAUCUAAAAUGGGAUGGAAAGUAUGUAAAAAAUGUCCAUGCUGGAUCAAAUGAAAGGCCCUACCUAUUAGUCUCUUUCUAAUAGCUUUUCACCCUCUAUUGCAUCAUGUAUAUAGGAUUGUGUUCUGAGGUCCUAAAAAUAAUAAAUAAUAAUUUACUUAUUCAUUAUCUA